UGGGGGGAACCCUGAUCCAGCGACGCCGCGUGAGUGAAGAAGUAUUUCGGUAUGUAAAGCUCUAUCAGCAGGGAAGAAAAAAUGACGGUACCUGACUAAGAAGCCCCGGCUAACUACGUGCCAGCAGCCGCGGUAAUACGUAGGGGGCAAGCGUUAUCCGGAUUUACUGGGUGUAAAGGGAGCGUAGACGGUAAUGCAAGUCUGAAGUGAAAGGCGGGGGCUCAACCCCCGGACUGCUUUGGAAACUGUGUAACUGGAGUGCAGGAGAGGUAAGUGGAAUUCCUAGUGUAGCGGUGAAAUGCGUAGAUAUUAGGAGGAACACCAGUGGCGAAGGCGGCUUACUGGACUGUAACUGACGUUGAGGCUCGAAAGCGUGGGGAGCAAACAGG
rnacentral:rRNA from 1 species